CUGUGAACUUUACCGAAUCGUUGCUUCGGCGGGACACGCCCCGGGCCCUAGCCGCCCGGAACCAGGCGCCCGCCGGAGGCCCCAAAACUCUCAUGUUUCUCCUGGCGGAAUCGAAUCUGAGUGUGCCAUAGCGGCAAGAAAAUGAAUCAAAACUUUCAACAACGGAUCUCUUGGUUCUGGCAUCGAUGAAGAACGCAGCGAAAUGCGAUAAGUAAUGUGAAUUGCAGAAUUCAGUGAAUCAUCGAAUCUUUGAACGCACAUUGCGCCCGCCAGUAUUCUGGCGGGCAUGCCUGUUCGAGCGUCAUUUCAACCCUCAAGCCCCCCAGGGGGCCUGGUGUUGGGGGACGGCCCCUCCCGGCCGCCCCCGAAAUGCAGUGGCGACCCCGCCGCAGCCUCCCCUGCGUAGUAGCUGUUUACAUGGAAACCUCGCACCGGAGAGCGGCGCUGCUCGGCCGUGAAACCCCAACUUUCUGAAAGGUUGACCUCGGAUCAGGUAGGAAUACCCGCUGAACUUAAGCAUAUCAAUAA
rnacentral:rRNA from 1 species